UCCGGGUCCCAGCUGCAGG
rnacentral:misc_RNA from 1 species